rnacentral:rRNA from 1 species
GAUGAACGCUAGCGGCAGGCUUAACACAUGCAAGUCGAGGGGUAGAGGCUUUCGGGCCUUGAGACCGGCGCACGGGUGCGUAACGCGUAUGCAAUCUGCCUUGUACUGGGGGAUAGCCCAGAGAAAUUUGGAUUAAUACCUCAUAGUAUUUUCGAAUGGCAUCAUUUGAUUAUUAAAGUUCCAACGGUAAAAGAUGAGCAUGCGUCCUAUUAGCUAGAUGGUAAGGUAACGGCUUACCAUGGCAACGAUAGGUAGGGGUCCUGAGAGGGAGAUCCCCCACACUGGUACUGAGACACGGACCAGACUCCUACGGGAGGCAGCAGUGAGGAAUAUUGGACAAUGGGCGCAAGCCUGAUCCAGCCAUGCCGCGUGCAGGAAGACGCAUCUAUGGUGUGUAAACUGCUUUUGUACGGGAAGAAACACUCCCUCGUGAGGGAGCUUGACGGUACCGUAAGAAUAAGGAUCGGCUAACUCCGUGCCAGCCGCCGCGGUAAAAC